rnacentral:rRNA from 1 species
AGUUUGAUCCUGGCUCAGAACGAACGCUGGCGGCAGGCUUAACACAUGCAAGUCGAACGCCCCGCAAGGGGAGUGGCAGACGGGUGAGUAACGCGUGGGAAUCUACCCAUCUCUGCGGAAUAGCUCUGGGAAACUGGAAUUAAUACCGCAUACGCCCUACGGGGGAAAGAUUUAUCGGGGAUGGAUGAGCCCGCGUUGGAUUAGCUAGUUGGUGGGGUAAAGGCCUACCAAGGCGACGAUCCAUAGCUGGUCUGAGAGGAUGAUCAGCCACAUUGGGACUGAGACACGGCCCAAACUCCUACGGGAGGCAGCAGUGGGGAAUAUUGGACAAUGGGCGCAAGCCUGAUCCAGCCAUGCCGCGUGAGUGAUGAAGGCCUUAGGGUUGUAAAGCUCCUUCACCGGUGAAGAUAAUGACGGUAACCGGAGAAGAAGCCCCGGCUAACUUCGUGCCAGCAGCCGCGGUAA